UACGUAGGGCGCAAGCGUUGUCCGGAAUUAUUGGGCGUAAAGAGCUCGUAGGCGGUCUGUCGCGUCGGAUGUGAAAGCCCGGGGCUUAACCCCGGGUCUGCAUUCGAUACGGGCAGACUAGAGUGUGGUAGGGGAGAUCGGAAUUCCUGGUGUAGCGGUGAAAUGCGCAGAGAUCGGGAGGAACACCCGUAGCGAAGGCGGUUCUCUGGGCCGAUACUGACGCUGAGGAGCGAAAGCGUGGGGAGCGAGCAGG
rnacentral:rRNA from 1 species